rnacentral:tRNA from 1 species
GGGAGUGAAGCUCAAGCGGACGAGCGCUGGUCUCCAAAACCAGAGGCUCCAGGUUCGAGGCCUGGUUCUCCCGCCA